AGGAAAUGUACUACUUUAAAAUUGUUUGAGCAAGAUGCUGUGCAGAACCACUGAUCUACAAAUCGUCCUGCAUUCUAAAGAACUACGCAGUAAGAAAUCCUCACUACAAGGAUUAGCGAAACACCUUGCUCAGUCAGCCAAAUGUAAAUCGGUCGAGUCAACCAAGCCAAGGGCCUAUCAAGCCCCAUACAACUGGCGGUCAAACAGGGAAAUGGUUCCAAUCCUUUUUCCACCAUUCAUUGUUCCCAAAGGGGAUUUUAGAAACGCCUAAAAUAAGGGCUGUGUUUCAUGUAGGCUUACCCUGGCAUGGCGUUUUGAUAACCAUGUAAAUCUCUUUUGGACAAGGUUGACUUUAUUCAAUGUAUUCGGCUCUGAUUCAAAAUUGCUAAUUAACAUCAAAGUGGACAUAAUGCAAGACCAUAAAUCCCUGCCAAGUCCUGCACCUCUUCUCUAGCUGACACCUUUGCUAACAGGUAUUGUGUCAAUUUAGAACUUGCAGAAGACAGUUCAGAAUUGUCAAUUUAAAGAAAUGUUGCCAAUUUAUUCAUUACAACAUUUAGCUAACUUUAGAUAGUUAAUCCAGAGAUGUUUCAUUUUGCCUCGAUUUGGCAGCCUCGUCCAGAUCAUCAUGGCAUUUGUAGUUCUUUAUGAAAGCCACAUUAGCAGCUAAUCAGCAUUUCAUUUGAUGAGGGUAAAUACAGGCAAAUAUAUUGAGAAAAGGAAUUGUAAGUGUUUCUAAAAUCCCAUAGAAGAAUUAAGGGUAGAAAAACGAUUGGAACCAUGUCCCUGUUUGACCGCUAGGUUGUAAGGAUAUGUUUACUGUGGUACUGUACUACCUGCCAACACAGCGGGUGAAAGGGAGGGAGUGACCGAGGGAGAGCAGUUUUGCAGGGAAUUAGGAUUUACUCUGUAUUAGUGUAGAGGAGGGAGGGAGGGAGGGAGGGAGAGCACAGGAGUAAGAGUAGGAGAGAAAGAAACACGCCUGAAAGAGCGGGAGUACGGAAUAUGUAACAUAAAAAGCAAGAAGGAAAUAAAUGGAUUCGUAGCUUGCUGAGCUUAUCAUAGAGAAAGGGACAGUGAGGAAGAGGGACGAGGUAGAAAGAAAGGAGAAGACGGUGUCUGAAACAGCAACAGACAGAUGUUCCAGAAAGCUGGCGAAGAGAUACGGAUAAGAAAAGGGGAAAGGAGGAGAGGUGAAGUGCAGAGAACAUUGUUUGGCUGACAGAAGAUUUGAGAAACGACUGCAACAAAAAGGCCGGAUGGGAGUCUAUACUGACACGCAUACACACCCACAACACAGACAUGGAUAGACUGCGGCCGACCAGUGACUCCGGUCGACUACUGCCAGUGGUACCCAAAGACCCUCUCACUAAUGCAUUAGAUGCCAUUGUGGUCAGCACUGAUCUCAUCGAGGAUGCACUCCGACCUCACCUGGAAACAGUACUUACUGUCAUACAGGAAAAACGAGAACUCAUUCACACCUUCUUAGAGAGGAACGGACUACAAACAUGGCAUUUUAUGGACUACAAACACGUUGACUCUGAAAGUCACUGCAGAUACAUCAGGACUGCAGACAGAAACCGAGAUGACUGUGGGUGUUGUGGUUCUGGAUGUACCUUACCUAAUUAGAAAUAAAUCGGAGUUCAAUUUUUUUUAAAUUGACGUUAAAGGUUCAAAUGUAUUUCUUUAUUUUGUUUUUAAGAAAUUCUAAAAUAGUUUGACAACCCUGUUUUGUUCGCUUUUAAAUGAUAUCAAACUCAACUGUUUAUCUUUUUCAGUCAGUGAUGAAGACAUGUAUCAUGGUAUGGUGGGGUAUGCAAAAUGGGUCAACUUUGAGCACCUUUAUCUUUUGAAGGUUUUGGCAUUCAGGUCCAAAAUGUCCCUUUCUGACCACUUCUUAAAUGGACAAACAUUGUAUGAAACAUUUUGCUUAAUCAAAAGUGAUGCUGUCAAAAAGUGAUUAAAUUCAAAUGGAUUUCCCCCACACACUACUAGGUCCGUAUCGCGGCCGACAGGUUUGUUCAUAACAUUCAUUAUACACAAUACAAUCUUAGACUGAACUUCUUACUGUGUAGCUCUUUCUCUCUAUCUCUAGGUUUUGUAUCAUACACAAUGUUUAAAAUGUCAGAACAGUACUUUUCUCAUAAAAAAAUGUCAUAUGCAAGAACGGGUGACACUUGUAAUUUCUGCAAUGCCAUAUAAAACCAUGUUUUUGACAAUUCGUUAGCCAAUUUUACUACACCAGUAUUUCAUCCUCAUUCUGCAUAAUUUGAACCUGUUGAAUGUUAAUGUUAAGUGCAUGACCUUGUAAAACAUAUCAUCAUGAAGGCCAUGAACAGUAACUAGUAAUGCCUUAUACUGUUAGAAGGCUCAGAUUUUGUGCUUAUUUUUAUUAGGUAUUGAUUAUUUGUGAUUUUAUGCAUUUUUGCAGUAGUAUGCACUGCUAUAAUCCGCCACAGUUCACGUGUCAUAAUACCGAUAAAAACACAGAAAUGGUUCCAA